rnacentral:tRNA from 1 species
GGGUAAUUAGCUCAGUUAGGUAGAGCGGUACAUGAUAUUGGUAUUUGUAGUUUGUCAUGGUAUUAUUUAAAGGUUUCAUCAUGUAUAGGUCACGGUGUUCAAGUCCCGUAUUACCCA